AACAGGAUUAGAUACCCUGGUGGUCCACGCUGUAAACGAUGUCGACUUGGAGGUUGUUCCCUUGAGGAGUGGCUUCCGGAGCUAACGCGUUAAGUCGACCGCCUGGGGAGUACGGCCGCAAGGUUAAAACUCAAAUGAAUUGACGGGGGCCCGCACAAGCGGUGGAGCAUGUGGUUUAAUUCGAUGCAACGCGAAGAACCUUACCUACUCUUGACAUCCAGAGAACUUAGCAGAGAUGCUUUGGUGCCUUCGGGAACUCUGAGACAGGUGCUGCAUGGCUGUCGUCAGCUCGUGUUGUGAAAUGUUGGGUUAAGUCCCGCAACGAGCGCAACCCUUAUCCUUUGUUGCCAGCGAUUCGGUCGGGAACUCAAAGGAGACUGCCAGUGAUAAACUGGAGGAAGGUGGGGAUGACGUCAAGUCAUCAUGGCCCUUACGAGUAGGGCUACACACGUGCUACAACGGCAUAUACAAAGAGAAGCGACCUCGCGAGAGCAAGCGGACCUCAUAAAGUAUGUCGUAGUCCGGAUUGGAGUCUGCAACUCGACUCCAUGAAGUCGGAAUCGCUAGUAAUCGUGGAUCGGAAUGCCUCGGUGAAUACGUUCCCGGGCCUUGUACGCACCGCCCGUCACACCAUGGGAGUGGGUUGCAAAAGAAGUAGGUAGCUUAACCUUCGGGAGGGCGCUUACCACUUUGUGAUUCAUGACUGGGGUGAAGUCGUAACAAGGUAACC
rnacentral:rRNA from 1 species